rnacentral:rRNA from 1 species
GCUUUGAAGCGUGGACGCCAGUCUGCGUGGAGCCGACCUUGAAAUACCACCCUUUAAUGUUUGAUGUUCUAACGUGGACCCGUUACCCGGGUUGCGGACAGUGUCUGGUGGGUAGUUUGACUGGGGCGGUCUCCUCCUAAAGAGUAACGGAGGAGCACGAAGGUUGGCUAAUCCUGGUCGGACAUCAGGAGGUUAGUGCAAUGGCAUAAGCCAGCUUGACUGCGAGCGUGACGGCGCGAGCAGGUGCGAAAGCAGGUCAUAGUGAUCCGGUGGUUCUGAAUGGAAGGGCCAUCGCUCAACGGAUAAAAGGUACUCCGGGGAUAACAGGCUGAUACCGCCCAAGAGUUCAUAUCGACGGCGGUGUUUGGCACCUCGAUGUCGGCUCAUCACAUCCUGGGGCUGAAGUAGGUCACAAGGGUAUGGCUGUUCGCCAUUUAAAGUGGUACGCGAGCUGGGUUAAGAACGUCGUGAGACAGUUC